rfam:Phytophthora infestans T30-4 supercont1.152 genomic scaffold, whole genome shotgun sequence.
UCCCAAAUAGUCUAGGCGGUUAGGAUACGUGGCUUUCACCCACGCGACCCGGGUUCGAGUCCCGGGUUUGGGAA